UACGGAGGGUGCAAGCGUUGUUCGGAAUCAUUGGGCGUAAAGCGCGUGUAGGCGGCCGGGUAAGUCUGAUGUGAAAGCCCGGGGCUCAACCCCGGAAGUGCAUUGGAUACUGCCUGGCUAGAGGGCGAGAGAGGAAAGUGGAAUUCCUGGUGUAGGGGUGAAAUCCGUAGAUAUCAGGAGGAACAUCAGUGGCGAAGGCGACUUUCUGGCUCGUUACUGACGCUGAGACGCGACAGCGUGGGGAGCAAACAGG
rnacentral:rRNA from 1 species